UACGGAGGGUGCAAGCGUUAUCCGGAAUCAUUGGGUUUAAAGGGUCCGUAGGCGGGCUAAUAAGUCAGGGGUGAAAUCCAACAGCUUAACUGUUGAAUUGCCUUUGAUACUGUUAGUCUUGAAUUAUAUGGAAGUAGAUAGAAUGUGUAGUGUAGCGGUGAAAUGCUUAGAGAUUACACAGAAUACCGAUUGCGAAGGCAGUCUACUACGUAUAUAUUGACGCUAAUGGACGAAAGCGUGGGGAGCGAACAGG
rnacentral:rRNA from 1 species